UAGCACAGAGAGCUUGCUCUCGGGUGACGAGCGGCGGACGGGUGAGUAAUGUCUGGGAAACUGCCUGAUGGAGGGGGAUAACUACUGGAAACGGUAGCUAAUACCGCAUAAUGUCGCAAGACCAAAGUGGGGGACCUUCGGGCCUCAUGCCAUCAGAUGUGCCCAGAUGGGAUUAGCUAGUAGGUGGGGUAACGGCUCACCUAGGCGACGAUCCCUAGCUGGUCUGAGAGGAUGACCAGCCACACUGGAACUGAGACACGGUCCAGACUCCUACGGGAGGCAGCAGUGGGGAAUAUUGCACAAUGGGCGCAAGCCUGAUGCAGCCAUGCCGCGUGUGUGAAGAAGGCCUUCGGGUUGUAAAGCACUUUCAGCGGGGAGGAAGGCGUUGAGGUUAAUAACCUUGUCGAUUGACGUUACCCGCAGAAGAAGCACCGGCUAACUCCGUGCCAGCAGCCGCGGUAAUACGGAGGGUGCAAGCGUUAAUCGGAAUUACU
rnacentral:rRNA from 1 species